AUACGUAGGGUGCAAGCGUUAAUCGGAAUUACUGGGCGUAAAGCGUGCGCAGGCGGUUUUGUAAGACAGAGGUGAAAUCCCCGGGCUCAAACUGGGAACUGCCUUUGUGACUGCAAGGCUAGAGUACGGCAGAGGGGGAUGGAAUUCCGCGUGUAGCAAUGGAAUGCGUAGAUAUGCGGAGGAACACCGAUGGCGAAGGCAAUCCCCUGGGCAUGUACUGACGCUCAUGCACGAAAGCGUGGGGAGCAAACAGGAUUAGAUACCCUGGUAGUCCACGCCCUAAACGAUGUCAACUGGUUGUUGGGUCUUCAUUGACUCAGUAACGAAGCUAACGCGUGAAGUUGACCGCCUGGGGAGUACGGCCGCAAGGUUAAAACUCAAAUGAAUUGACGGGG
rnacentral:rRNA from 1 species